rnacentral:misc_RNA from 1 species
UCAAACUUGGUCAUUUAGAGGAAGUAAAAGUCGUAACAAGGUUUCCGUAGGUGAACCUGCGGAAGGAUCAUUAUUGAAUAAAUUUGAACAGGUUGUUGCUGGCCUAUUGGGUAUGUGCACACUUGUCAUUUUUAUUUUCUCCAAACUUGUGCAUAUAUUGUAGUCUUUGGAAAGGAUUUUAUCAAUAGAUUGUUUGAGAAUUGCUGUGCUUAAAAAAGUUCAGCUCUGUCUUGUAUUUCCAAAGUCUAUAUUAUUAUUACAAACUAUAAACUUUAGGAUGUUGUAAAAAUAAAAUCUUUACAACUUUCAGCAACGGAUCUCUUGGCUCUUGCAUCGAUGAAGAACGCAGC